UGAAACCUAUAUAAACCCAGUUUGAUAAUGAAUCUAAUCAUAAGCACUAAAUCACACACAACUCAAUCAACAGACAUAAUAGAUUGAUCAAGAAGAUUUGAAAUGGGAGACGAAUGCCAAGGUAAGAACUCAUGGCCUGAAUUAGUUGGGUUUGAUGGGCAGACUGCAGCAGCCAGGAUCGAGUCAGAGAAUCCUAACGUCAAUGCUAUUGUUGUUCAGGAAGGAUUUAAUGUAACCACAGACUAUAGGUGCGACAGGGUUUGGGUCUGGGUUAGUAAGGCUGGAAAAGUGACAGAAACACCCAUCAUUGGCUAGAUUGUAUAGUUUGAUUACUUGAUGCAUGAAUCACGUAAACUCUACUGCAUCCAUGUACGUGAUCGUAAUAAGUUGUUAUCAUAUCAUUACUAAUAAGUUGUGUGUCCCCCUAAACAAAUUACUAUCCAAUAAAGCUUGAGUUUAUUAAA